GAGUUUGAUCAUGGCUCAGGACGAACGCUGGCGGCACGCCUAACACAUGCAAGUCGAACGGAGAUAUUUUGGUUUACUGAGAUAUCUUAGUGGCGGACGGGUGAGUAACACGUGAGCAACCUGCCUCUGAGAGAGGGAUAGCUUCUGGAAACGGAUGGUAAUACCUCAUAACAUAACGAAGCCGCAUGACUUUGUUAUCAAAGAUUUAUCACUCAGAGAUGGGCUCGCGUCUGAUUAGAUAGUUGGUGAGGUAACGGCUCACCAAGUCGACGAUCAGUAGCCGGACUGAGAGGUUGAACGGCCACAUUGGGACUGAGACACGGCCCAGACUCCUACGGGAGGCAGCAGUGGGGAAUAUUGCACAAUGGGGGAAACCCUGAUGCAGCGAUGCCGCGUGGAGGAAGAAGGUUUUCGGAUUGUAAACUCCUGUCUAAAGGACGAUAAUGACGGUACUU
rnacentral:rRNA from 1 species